GGACGAACGCUGGCGGCAUGCCUAACACAUGCAAGUCGAACGGAGUAAUGACUUCGGUUAUUACUUAGUGGCGAACGGGUGAGUAACACGUGAAUAAUCUGCCCUGUACGAUGGGAUAACAGCUGGAAACGGCUGCUAAUACCGUAUAUGACCACGCCGAGGCAUCUCGGAGGGGUGAAAGCGCUUAAGCGGUACAGGAUGAGUUCGCGUCCAAUUAGCUAGUUGGUGAGGUAACGGCCCACCAAGGCGACGAUUGGUAGCCGACCUGAGAGGGUGAUCGGCCACACUGGAACUGAGACACGGUCCAGACUCCUACGGGAGGCAGCAGUGGGGAAUAUUGGGCAAUGGGGGAAACUCCUUACCCAGCAAUGCCGCGUGAGUGAUGAAGGUCUUCGGAUUGUAAAGCUCUUUGAUUGGGGACGAAUAAAUGACGGUACCCAAGGAACAAGCCCCGGCUAACUAUGUGCCAGCCGCGGC
rnacentral:rRNA from 1 species